GGGGGCGACCGGUAUCGAUUGUAUGGGUGGCCUCGUAGCAGCGUGCCCUGGAAGUCGAGCCCCAGGUAAAACACUCGGCACAUUCUCAACUGCGAACAACAACUUCGCUCUCGCUGCGUAACACGGCGUAAGCCGCGUCCGUAGCAGUGCCGGUCCAGUAGCCCACCCGGGGCGAUUGGUCGGUAUCGCAAAGCCGGGUUGGUCGUCGCCAUCGCCUUCGUGGCGCCGACGAGAUUCAGAGGGCUCAUCCAUCCGUGGGCGGCGCAUCGGCCAGCGGCUGGAAACACCAAUCGAUGCGCUACGCACGUAGACGCUGCGGAAGAUCUCACGCAAGACGGGAGUUCGAAUCUCCCCGCCUCCAUCG
rnacentral:tmRNA from 1 species